AUGAACGCUGGCGGCGUGCCUAAUACAUGCAAGUCGAGCGAACGGACGAGAAGCUUGCUUCUCUGAUGUUAGCGGCGGACGGGUGAGUAACACGUGGAUAACCUACCUAUAAGACUGGGAUAACUUCGGGAAACCGGAGCUAAUACCGGAUAAUAUUUUGAACCGCAUGGUUCAAAAGUGAAAGACGGUCUUGCUGUCACUUAUAGAUGGAUCCGCGCUGCAUUAGCUAGUUGGUAAGGUAACGGCUUACCAAGGCAACGAUGCAUAGCCGACCUGAGAGGGUGAUCGGCAACACUGGAACUGAGACACGGUCCAGACUCCUACGGGAGGCAGCAGUAGGGAAUCUUCCGCAAUGGGCGAAAGCCUGACGGAGCAACGCCGCGUGAGUGAUGAAGGUCUUCGGAUCGUAAAACUCUGUUAUUAGGGAAGAACAUAUGUGUAAGUAACUGUGCACAUCUUGACGGUACCUAAUCAGAAAGCCACGGCUAACUACGUG
rnacentral:rRNA from 1 species